UCCGUCUGGCGUCAGCCAUCAGGUAAGCCAAGAUGGGUGCAUACAAGUAUAUCCAGGAGCUGUGGAGGAAGAAGCAGUCUGAUGGAAUGCGCGUUCUUCUGAGGGUCCGCUGCUGGCAAUACCCGCAGCUCUCUGCGCUCCACAGGGCUCCCCGCCCCACCCGACAGGAUAAAGCACGCAGACUGGGAUACAAGGCCAAGCAAGGUUAUGUCAUAUAUAGGAUUCGUGUGCGCCGUGGUGGCCGCAAACGCCCAGUUCCUAAGGGUGCAACUUAUGGCAAGCCUGUCCAUCAUGGUGUUAACCAGCUAAAGUUUGCUUGAAGCCUUCAAUCUGUUGCCGAGGGGCGAGCUGGACGCCACUGUGGGGCUCUAAGAGUCCUGAAAUCUUACUGGGUUGGUGAAGAUUCCACGUACAAAUUUUUUGAGGUUAUCCUCAUUGAUCCAUUCCAUAAAGCUAUCAGAAGAAAUCCCGAUACCCAGUGGAUCACGAAACCGGUCCACAAGCACAGGGAGAUGCGUGGGCUGACAUCUGCAGGCCGCAAGAGCCGUGGCCUUGGAAAGGGCCACAAGUUCCACCACACUAUUGGUGGUUCUCGCCGUGCAGCUUGGAGAAGGCGCAAUACUCUCCAGCUUCACCGUUACUGCUAAUAAGUAAUGUUUGUAAAAUUCAUACCUAAUAAACAAUUUAGGAUGGUCAUGUCUGCUUAAAGGUGUUAUUUGUCUGUUAAACUAGUCUGCAGAUUGUUUCAUGAAUGCUUUGUCAAAUAUGAAGUUAAAAGUGCAAUAAUGUUUGAAGACUAUAAGUGAUGGUGUAUCUUGUCUCUAAUAAGAUAAGCUUUUUUUGUCUUUGCUUUAUCUUAUUAGAGAGUUUUAUGUGGGUGUUUAAAACAUGCUGUGUGGUAUAAUAGGUGUAAAAUAAAUUCUUUAAAAGAGGAGUGCUACAACUACCCUGUAGAUUUGUUUGGUGCAUGUGGUGAAACCUACAGCUUUACUGGGAUGAUGGCAAUGCUCUGCUGGCUUUUUAAUUGGGUUUUGUUUAGAAAUUUUUAGGGUAGGAGGAGGAUAUCCUAACCCUAUGUUGUGGUCACAUAGAAAAAUAUGAGCUCGUGUAGAGCCCACGUCUUCAGAUUUAGUCCAGUGUUCCAUUUGUUUCUGAAAGAAAAGUUUAAAAUGCCACCAUAUUUUGGAACUGGAUAUACUUGUUGCAAGAGGCUUAUCUUACGAAUGAAACCUCUGGGUUAACCUAAAAAUUGCCUCAGUCUUCAUUGUACCAUUUUAAAUUAA